rnacentral:lncRNA from 1 species
UAAUCAGCGUCGAGGUGACGAGGCCGUCUAAGACGAAACGGACAGCUGCCCAGAAGAAGGCUCAGGAUGAGGUGCUGGUGAUUAAGGGGAUUGAGUUUGCCGGGAAUGAAACUGUGAAGUUCGACGUGUAUGUGAACGAUGACGCGGACUCGCUGGCCGGGAAAGACAAGUCGGAGUUUGCUGGGAGUUUUGUUCACGUGCCGCAUAAGCAUAAGAAGAAUAUUAAGACGAACCUGCGGCUGAGCAUUACAAGCUUGUUGGAAGAGUUGGAUGCGGAGACAGACAACAGUUUGGUAGUGACUUUGGUGCCGAAAGUUGGGAAGGGGCCAAUCACCAUCGGAGGGUUUAGCAUUGAGCUCAUUAAUACUACCUGAGUAUUAAUUAAUGUUAUUGUUGGUUCUUCUUGUUGUUGUUGGGUUGGCUUAAUCAUGUCUUUCUAGCUAAUUACUCCUGAACGUUCAUAAUGUGCUCAUCUACUGCUUAUGUGGCAGAUAAUGGUUGGUGUUCCUCGUGAAUAAAAGCACUAUUGUGUUUCAGUGUGUCUAUUUAUUGAAUAAAGAAUUUAUGGUAGAGUUUAAUCAUAAUUUUCUAGAACUAAUGAUGGUACACUACUUUAAUAUCUUCUCCUUCUUUUUUUUGUUUUGUUGUGAUUUUGAAGAAUGUACCCAUGUUUUGAUACAAUAAUUUUUUUGGAUAAUUUUGAUGAAUGUACCCAUGUUUAUAUAUAUACACACACACAAUAGUAUAUUUAUAUUUUAAUAUUUUUAAUCCCACAAAUUAUGGUUUUUUUUUUAAAUCUCAUUUAUAUAAACAACUAAAAUUUCUAAUUUUUAAUUUAAAAAAUAUAGUAACGUACAUAGAAAUAAAUUAUCACAUUAAUUUCAGAGACUUCGAUCAAAAAUUAAAAACCAACAAGGUUUUAAUAAAAGAAUAUUCAUAGUUAAGGACCAUAUCCAAAGUUUCCCUAAAAUAAUUGUACGAAAGAAUCUCUCUUUUCAUCGAGACCGGAAUUAUUGAAUUUAUGAUAGGAAAAUUCUACGCAUGCUUUGAAACACAUCAAUCAAUCCAUACUAUUAACCACAUAUUUCUUCAUCGAUGGAGAAAUUCUACGUAGCAUGCUUUUCACAAUUACAUUAUCUUUAACAUUCGUAAACAAAAAAGAGGUCUAGAUUCGCAGACUCGAUGCCUACCUAUUAUUUUUCAUCGAUUAUUGGUCAUACUACUAGUUGACUAGGAAGAUAGACUCUCCCUUACUGUUAUUAAAAUUUCAAAAUUUUCUAAUUCUCAUUUGUUUUUGUUGCAUAAGGUUUUUUUUUUUGGUUAAUUGUUGCAUAAGUAAUUUGGCAUGUAUUUUUUAACAAUGUUGGAUGAGAAAUCUAAUGGUUUAAGAAUUAUAAAUAAGAAAUUAAAAAACAUUUAGUGACAUUAAAAUAAAGUAUUUAUUUAUAAAACUAUUAAAUUCCUCUUUUCACAUUUUCCUUACUUGUUGUGUGUCUACUGUCUACAGCCCAUUCGACCUUGAACCUAACCUAAUUUAAUUGUGUAUCAAAUGGCAGGUUGGUGUUUUUUUGUAAAAUCGUAUUUGUCUAUUUUUCUUUACUAUAAAAAAAUGUCUUAAUAGUUUAGAUAUUUUUUUUUAAAAGGAAACGAUAAGAGAUUAAUUGAUUGAAAACGUCAUUACAUGGUUUGAAGUACAAGAAGCCCCAUUAAGGCAGCACACAUUGUUCUAAUAGUAAGUCAGAAAUGAACAAAGGAGGAGACUCAGCACAUUCACACUCCUGGCUCAAAGAGAGACAAAACGUGCUAGCCUAUGGACAAUAGAGUUAGCUUGACGGUGAGUAUGGUAAGAAUAGCAUCAGUGCUUGAUGGGAGUAGCACCUUGAUAUCUUUCAUAAUUUGUUCAACUGAGAAUAGAUUGAUAGACGAUACGAUGUGGGUUUGGCAAAGUGUGUGUCAAAAAAUGGAUGUCCCAAGAUGCUAACGAUAUGACACACACUUUGUAGGGCUCAUUCCAUAACAUUUUCAAGAAUUUGAAUCAUCUAUAUUUCAAUUCAUCGUUCAUAUAUGUCCUUGCCAAAAAUUAAAAAGAUCCAAAAUCAUUAAAACAUUAAUUUGUAAGGAAGAAAAUACAGAUGGGCGUCACAAAACCCCCCCCCCCCCGGUUGGUUCUUGUUCUGGCUCGAGAUGGGCUUCCUUGCCCCCUUGUAAUUAGGUUUUUUUUUUUCUUUCUAGAUGGCUUUGCGCCAUCCUUUUGUGCCUUUUGAGGCUUGAUUGUGAUUUCCUAUUUCUUCUGAGAGUUUAAAUGUAUUAAGUCCUUGAACAUAGGAUAUCAUGGUCUAUGUUUAGUUAUGUUUCUUGGAGUACUUGUUCUGUUUUAAUACAAUGACCUCUUUCUGAAUUUAAAAAAAAAAAAUUGACUUUGCCAAUUUUUCCCCAAUCAAACAUUUAACACACUUAACUGGCCUUCUACCAUAGUGAUGAAAGAAGUGUUACUUUUAUACUACUACAUGAGUUCGAAUUCCGUUGGCUCUCUUAUUUAAUAAAUCUAUCUUUUGAUAUAUAAAAAAAUAAAAAAUAAAAAUAAAAAAACUCAAAACACAAAUGAGCUGUGCAUCAUAGUAUUAGAUAAUGUUGUAUAAUUCAACAGACAACUGUUUUUUUUUUUUUGUUAUGAAAAAGCAAUAGAGAAUUAGGUAAAUACGAUGUAAAACAUUUCUACUCAAGAGGCAGAUUGUCUGCCCCCUGUUUGAAUGCCCUUUUUAUUCCCUUAUAUUUUAUGCGGUCACCGUUAAUACACGUCAACAUUUUAUAUUAAUUUUUUUUAUAGAUAAUAAGAUAAAAAACAAUAAGAAUAUAUAAUAUUGACAUAGCUUACUGUUUAACCAUGACCGCACAUAUAAAAAAAGAUGGAUAGAGCAUCCAAAUAGGAAGACAUACAAUAUGCUUCUUUCUACUCAUCUUCUAAGUGUCAUGUCAUAUAAUGGCAUGUGAUAAAUGCAUGACCCACCACAUGAAUAAAUAGUCCUCAAAACACGGCACGUGUGGAAAUGAUUUAGCUAGUGACCACCAAGAUUAUAUUCUUCUGGCAAAAUGCGACAUGUUUAUAUUUUCUGGCAAAACAACAUGAUAUUGAUGUGCCUUUGGCUUCUCUAUUGUUGGCGUCUAGUGUAGAAUGAUUAAAAAAAGUAAAUCUAAAGAAUAAUUUUUUGCGACGUCUUAACCUCAAUCUUCUUUUUUCUUACCAAUUAAUCAAGAAAAAUGCUAAGGACCUAUCUCAAAAGUAGAACUUUGGAAGUCUUUGUUGAUUCUUAUUUUUUAUAAAAUAUUUUUUUAUAUUCUUACAAGAAUUGAGAUGACAAAAAGUUCAUGAAGAGUCGUACUUUUGAAAUAAUCACUUGACAUUUCCUUUUAUACAAACAUGACUACAUGAGUUAAUUAAUAACUAAUUUAAUUUCAUGGUUUUCAUAACUAAUAAUUUUUAUGUACCCAUAUAUAUAAUGUAUUUGUUUACUAACUAGCCCAAAAAUAUGAUUGUCCCUUGAAAAAAAAAUUAAUAUUUUAUUUGAUGUAUGAUGAAUGUAUUCGAACUCGUAAUCUUUUUCCAAAUCUCUUCUAACAUUUAUCAACUCACUUAAAACUCCAUCUCUACCAUAAUUGUUGAUACAAAUUUCCGCCGUCUUUAAUCUUGACGAAAUUGCACCUGCAAAACAAUCAACUUUUUUGAUCAAAGACCUAAGGCUCAUGUGCCCACGAGGUGGGGGGGGGGGUUGGGGGGGGUUUAGGUCAACGGAUCUCCGACGCCUAAGUUAGUUUAUCUGAGAGUAAAGUGUUUAAGGCUUUUUAGGGUUGCAAAAGCUCUCUAAGAUUGGUAGAAUAUGGGGUAUUUAUAGCGCUAGGGUAGGCCAUAUAGGGUUUAAUGGAGAAAUAUUCUCUAAAUAUUCCCAAGAUAUUUAAUAGGAUUACUUACUUGAUAGGAGUCAAUCUUCAAUUAGGAAUGUAUUAAAGAUAGGAUUUGGGUAAUUAAUCCUUAUCUUUAAUUCCUUACCAUGGGCAGUUGUGCUCAGUUGCUGAGUCCUUCAGGGAUGUGAGCUGCACGUGGGAGAAUAUGAGAAGUUUGCUCAUUUAUUGAGGACCAUUUUGUCCUUUUUGAAUUAAAGUCCACGUGUCACCUCUAGAAUUUUUAGAAUUAUUUUAGGCUCCACAAUAAUAAUAUUAAAUUUUGAAACAUCACCUUAUAUUUACUUCUUGAGCAAUAAAUAGUGUGUUCUCAUGUGACCAGUACGUUAUAUUCAUACAAUGUGCAAUAUAGUCAGUAGUGAAUAGCUAUAUCCCCCGAUUCCCCCGCCCCUGCUUGAUAAAUGAAGGAUAAAUGAUCAUGGGUUUUUCAGCCUUCACCAAUAAACCGUGUCUAAUGAUUACGUAAAGCCACGAUGGGUAAUCCGUGGCAAUGACAACCAUGGGCUAUUGCCUUUUCAUUUUAUUUCACGGUGGAAGCUGCUAUAAGAAGCCCUUCGAAUUGUCGGGCUCCAACCCAUUAAACAGUGGACACACUUCAAUCUUUUUCAUGGAUAUUUGUGAAAGCUUUUGUGAAUUGUGACCAUGAAUAUGCAUGCAGUUGCUCGAACCACGUAGAGAUGUGAUUUCAUAUAUGUUUGAUUGGGCUAAAACUUCCACAGUUCUGAGUCUUUCAGUUGGAUGAUCUUUCGGGUCCUAGAGUCAAAAGUUAUUGAUUGAGCUGCGAAAAGAUACCUUUAUUUCUGAAAAAUUUAAAACUCUAAAGGCAAUUUUGAUUACUUAAUUAAGCGAAAAGGCAAAAGGACCUUUGUACGAGUACGAGGACACGUCUGGAUUGUAUAUCAAUCAACAACCAACAUUUUAUUAUUACUUUUUUACAAUCAAAAUUUGUCAUCAUUCGAUGACGUUCCUGUUUUGAUUAUUGAAUUAUCACAUUCGUUUAUAGUUUCUAGAUAACUAGUAAUACCGUAUGUGCUUUUUUCUUUUUUUUCUUUUUUUUCUUUUUUUUUGGAAACUACCCUAUGUGCUUUUGGAGUAUUAUUAUUGGACAUUACUCUUUGAGCAGCAAGAAUUUCUUGCAUUUUAGCUUUUUUUCAUGUGUCCAUUUUAUAUGCGGUAGUUGUUGAUUUUUGCGCUACGGGUUUGAAUCAUAUAAAUCUAUAAAUAAAGUUUAAAUUGCAAUGUUUGUAUGACAUUUAAAUUAGUCUGGACUUGUAGUUUAGAAGUAAUGUUUCUAACAUGGUGUAUGAAGCUUAAAUAUCCCAUAUUUUUUUUUCAUCCACUGUAUAAAAAAUGAAAAAUACAUGUGUUAAUCACUUAUACAAUACAUCCAAACGAGAAUAAGAAAAUUUCAGGGCAUCUAUCCCAUCUCAGGGCUAGAAUUUUAAUCUCUGGAAGGCAAAGCUUUUCUAUUCAACUCUUCAUUGUUUGUUAAUCUGAAUUACAAGGGAUGUUUAUAAAGCCUAAAACCUAAUGACCGCAUGAAGGUAAACUUAUUAUAGUAAAGAAAUCCUAAUCCAAAAUAAAAUAGGACACUAUAUCUAAUCCUAAUUAAACUGGAAAGAAUUAUAGAGCUCGUUGGAAGUGAUUUUAAAAGCUGAAAGUGUUUUUGGUGAAAAUGAUUUUGGAACUAAUGCUUAGUAAAAAUGCAAGUAAAUUCUAAAAAAAAACACUUAGUGUUUCCUUAAAAAAGCAUAUAACCGAUGGUUCUUAUAAUAAGCACUUCAAUUGCUUUUAAAUUUCAAAAAGAUUUUAUCUAAAAACGUUUUUAAUCAUUUUAAAAGUACUUUGAAAUCAACCUUUAAUCCUUAUAAACUAAGCAAUCAUAAAACUACCCCCUAGAUAUUAAAAUACUAAGGACUAAAGACUAAAAAGGCUAAAAUACCCUUUAAUUUAGGAAGUCACCACUCUUGUUCCACGUGACUUAGCUAUUACUAAUUUACUAUCACCAGUAAUUGAUGAAAGAUAAUAUCAAAAUAGAGAGGCAUAAUAGAGUCAGCAAAUCUAGAACCUCUCUUUUUCAUGCAAAUUUUCCUCAUCGACGAAGAAAAAUGUGCUAUAUAUUUUUUAUUCAUGUGUUUCAAAAGUGGAUGGUCUCUUCAGUAAGGUGGUGAACUUAAAGAAAUUUGAGGUUGUAUUGUAAAAUUAAUUAGUAAAUAGAGAGUGGUUCAAUUCUUUAUAAGCUCUUGUAUGAUUUGAUUUCUCACCGAUGUGAGACUUUGUCUUUACAUUCUUACACUAUUCUCGCACGUGGCAAAUUUUAAAACCUAACAUGCGGACAAUACAAAUUGGGUGACGUGGAACAUGUGUGGCCAUUGGACUUCACACGUGGGCUAAUAUGAAGAUUAGUCUAACUCUUCAUAAGCCCUUGCAUGAUUUGGUUAAUCACUGAUGUGGAACUUUGUUCUCACAUUCUCACACGCUCCAUCAUGUGUGACGAAUAUUCAAGCCUAACAUAUGAACAAUACAUAAAAUCUCAAUUUUCUACGAAGUAUCAGAGUCGGUUGAAUCAGAUGUUUAAUUAUUCUUUCGUAGUAUGAAGUCAAUUGAACUACAUGUUUGAUAUGUAAGGAUGUAAAUGUUGAUCCACAUUGAAAAGUUAAGAGACCGUUUACGAUUUUAAUUUGUCCUGAAAGAUGCAUUUCACCAUUUGAUGUAGCUCGUAUGGGAAGCCUAACUUUUUUCUUUCUCUCUUCUUUUCUCGCAAUAUAGAUUGUUAACUUUUUCUUUUAAUUUGAGGGAUUCUCCUUGUCUUAAUGAUGUUGACAUCGGAGUGGUAUGGUUCUUGAAUCUUGACUAAGAAAACCCCUGCAUUCAUACACACAUUUUUAGUGUGCGGUCCCGCCAAUUUCAACUAUAAAAACAUCACAAUCCCCUUUCCUUCUUAAUUGCAGAGUGGAAAGGAAAACCAAUUCAGCCAUGUCUUCAUCUCCCUUACCAACUUCUACAAUGGCCGCCCUGCACUCCACCACAACCACCCUCUUCCGCUCUCAUUUAUUCCCAAACAAGUCCCAGACUCCACUGCAACGAAAACCCAAACAAUGCCUCGAUCGACACGAAAAAACUCGGGUAUGUGUACGACGAGAAAAAGAAUCUCGUGCGCGUCAAGUUUCGGGACUCGCUCGACACGAAAAAACUCGGGUAUGUGUACGACAAGAAUGUCUCGAUCCCGUGGCUGGAUUCGAAGCCGACGGCUCGUAAGUCGACAAAUAAGAGAAAGGCUACGGUUUCAUCUUCUGAUCUUUCUACAACAUUCCCUGCUACACUGUCGGAUAUAAUCAGCGUCGAGGUGACGAGGCCGUCUACGACGAAACGGACAGCUGCCCAGAAGAAGGCGCAGGACGAGGUGCUGGUAAUUAAGGGGAUUGAGUUUGCUGGGAAUGAGACUGUGAAGUUCGACGUGUAUGUGAACGAUGACGCGGACUCGCUGGCCGGGAAAGACAAGUCAGAGUUUGCUGGGAGUUUUGUUCACGUGCCGCAUAAGCAUAAGAAGAAUAUUAAGACGAACCUGCGGCUGAGCAUUACAAGCUUGUUGGAAGAGUUGGAUGCGGAGACAGACAGUAGUUUGGUAGUGACUUUGGUGCCGAAAGUUGGGAAGGGGCCAAUCACCAUCGGAGGGUUUAGCAUUGAGCUCAUUAAUACUACCUGAGUAUUAAUUAAUGUUAUUGUUGGUUCUUGUUGUUGUUGCUGGGUUGGCUUAAUCAUGUUUUUCUAGCUAAUUACUCCUGAACGUUCAUGAUGUGCUCAUUUACUGCUUAUGUGGCAGAUGAUGGUUGGUGUUCCUCGUGAAUAAUAGCACUAUUGUGUUUUGGUGUGUUUAUUUAUUGAAUAAAGAAUUGAUGGUAGAGUUUAAUCAUAAUUUUCCAGAACUAAUGAUGGUACACUGC